AAAUCAACCGAGAUUCCCCCAGUAGCGGCGAGCGAACGGGGAGCAGCCCAGAGCCUGAAUCAGUAUGUGUGUUAGUGGAAGCGUCUGGAAAGGCGCGCGAUACAGGGUGACAGCCCCGUACACAAAAAUGCACAUGCUGUGAGCUCGAUGAGUAGGGCGGGACACGUGGUAUCCUGUCUGAAUAUGGGGGGACCAUCCUCCAAGGCUAAAUACUCCUGACUGACCGAUAGUGAACCAGUACCGUGAGGGAAAGGCGAAAAGAACCCCGGCGAGGGGAGUGAAAAAGAACCUGAAACCGUGUACGUACAAGCAGUGGGAGCACGCUUAGGCGUGUGACUGCGUACCUUUUGUAUAAUGGGUCAGCGACUUAUAUUCUGUAGCAAGGUUAACCGAAUAGGGGAGCCGAAGGGAAACCGAGUCUUAACUGGGCGUUAAGUUGCAGGGUAUAGACCCGAAACCCGGUGAUCUAGCCAUGGGCAGGUUGAAGGUUGGGUAACACUAACUGGAGGACCGAACCGACUAAUGUUGAAAAAUUAGCGGAUGACUUGUGGCUGGGGGUGAAAGGCCAAUCAAACCGGGAGAUAGCUGGUUCUCCCCGAAAGCUAUUUAGGUAGCGCCUCGUGAAUUCAUCUCCGGGGGUAGAGCACUGUUUCGGCAAGGGGGUCAUCCCGACUUACCAACCCGAUGCAAACUGCGAAUACCGGAGAAUGUUAUCACGGGAGACACACGGCGGGUGCUAACGUCCGUCGUGAAGAGGGAAACAACCCAGACCGCCAGCUAAGGUCCCAAAGUCAUGGUUAAGUGGGAAACGAUGUGGGAAGGCCCAGACAGCCAGGAUGUUGGCUUAGAAGCAGCCAUCAUUUAAAGAAAGCGUAAUAGCUCACUGGUCGAGUCGGCCUGCGCGGAAGAUGUAACGGGGCUAAACCAUG
rnacentral:rRNA from 1 species